rnacentral:lncRNA from 1 species
GAGUGAAGUGUAAUGGAGUUUUAGAACCUGCACUUAAGUCUUAAGUAAUUGAAAGACAAAAUAAUUAAGUCAAGCACUAUUCCUCCUGUCUAUACUUCACCUUUGUUCCAGAGUUUUUCAUAAGUUUUUAAAAUAAAACUCAGAGUUCCCAGCAAUGAUCUCUCAAGUCUCUCUAUAUGUGGUAUUUGUGGAUCCUUACCAUAAUGUCACUUACCUAUAGCUAAUGGAAUAUUUAAGUGGAGCUCAUAGGAGUGAAAAACAGCUCAUACAUAUGUUGUCUAAUCGAGCCAUGAAUCCAAAGGAACUCAGCAUAUAAUUAAAUCAAGUUGUGCAUGUGUGGUGGAGUAAAAGAUAGUGAUGGUAAAAAUGUAUAACUAAUAAUAAAACUUGGUUCUCAUUGCUCCUCAUAUUGCUAUCUGUCCUCCUCUUGAUCUUUGCAUUGGGAGAACUUGGGCUAUCUUUUUCUCUUUUUCUUCUUUUUUUCAGGUGGGUAGUAGAUACCCCUAAUUCUACUGUCGGACACUUGUCCAUUUUUUCCGCUCAAGUGGGCGUCUUUGUACCCCUAAUUUUACUUCGGACACUUGUUCAUUUUUACCUCUCAUCUCACUCUUUUUCUUUCUUUUUCGAGGUUCCGGGCACUUGCCCCUUUUUAUUUCUUCACAUAUUUUUGCAUAACCCAUGCCUCUUCUGCAUUGAAUCUUUUUAGAGAGAGAGAAUAACAAUAUUUGGGACAGUGAGUGAUAAUAUUUUUAGCAAUUUUAAUGAAUUGUGAUGGAUGGUGUAGUAGAUGUGUGCAAGCGAAUAUCUUAAUUUAACCACAUGAAAAGCUCCUAAGGGUCUACACAGCUCGAUCAAACUCAAUGUAAAUAUAGUAAAAGAUGUUAUAGCAAGUAAGGCUGUGGUAGGUAGUCUGUAAUGCUAGGAACUCAUCAUGUGCUUUGUAAGUUUUCAAAAUAAAUCUGUAGAACUUAGUGUAGUAGGAACAAGAUAAACAGCAGCUCAAACUUUAUAUUAUGCCUUUCUCUUACCUAGACUUUAGUUUUAUGCUUCCCAAAGAUAGUAAUUUCAGUUUUAGUAAUUCCUGGAAGAACUCUAAUAUAAAAGCU